UUCGCAAUGCCCGAAAGGGUGACGAAACGACGCCGCGUGAGCGAAGAAGGCCCUAGGGUUGUAAAGCUCUGUCGGGGGUUAUGAAAUGCAGGUUGGUUAAUACCCAACCUGUUUGACAAAGGCCCCAAAGGAAGCCACGGCUAACUCUGUGCCAGCAGCCGCGGUAAUACAGAGGUGGCAAGCGUUGUUCGGUAUUAUUGGGCGUAAAGAGCACGUAGGUGGUUUUGUAAGUCAGAUGUGAAAGCCUCUGUUCAAAGGAAGAACGGCAUCUGAAACUGCAGAUCUUGAGUGUAGGAGGGGAGAGUGGAACUUCUGGUGGAGCGGUGAAAUGCGUAGAUAUCAGAAGGAACGUCGGCGGCGAAAGCGACUCCCUGGCCUAUUACUGACACUGAGUGUGCGAAAGUUAGGGGAGCAAACGGGAUUAGAUACCCCGGUAGUCCUAACUGUAAACGAUGGGCACUAAGUAGAGGGGUUUU
rnacentral:rRNA from 1 species